rnacentral:rRNA from 1 species
GAUGAACGCUGGCGGCGUGCCUAAUACAUGCAAGUCGAGCGAACAGACGAGGAGCUUGCUCCUUUGACGUUAGCGGCGGACGGGUGAGUAACACGUGGGUAACCUACCUAUAAGACUGGGAUAACUUCGGGAAACCGGAGCUAAUACCGGAUAAUAUUUCGAACCGCAUGGUUCGAUAGUGAAAGAUGGCUCUGCUAUCACUUAUAGAUGGACCUGCGCCGUAUUAGCUGGUUGGUAAGGUAACGGCUUACCAAGGCAACGAGACGUAGCCGACCUGAGAGGGUGAUCGGCCACACUGGAACUGAGACACGGUCCAGACUCCUACGGGAGGCAGCAGUAGGGAAUCUUCCGCAAUGGGCGAAAGCCUGACGGAGCAACGCCGCGUGAGUGAUGAAGGUCUUCGGAUCGUAAAACUCUGUUAUUAGGGAAGAACAAACGUGUAAGUAACUGUGCACGUCUUGACGGUACCUAAUCAGAAAGCCACGGCUAACUACGUG